GAACUGUAAUGGAUCCUGCUCUACACUACAAGAAAUCUGUGUCACGGUCUAAACUAGCUGAAAAAUAUUUCCAGGCAAGUUUCAGAAUUAAAGACGAGAAUUUUUGUUUCGGCUUCGGUCUUAACACCAACCAACUCUUGUGUUCUAUGGGAGAUUGACAAAGAAGAAUAGAAAAGCAACUCUUGCCGAUGAGUUGGUGUCAGAUCCUAAAACUUCUCAGUACAGGAAGCGUAAAGUUAGGGAGAUUGAGGAGAAGAGUAGAGCUGUCACGAAUAAGAAAUGGAAGAAAAAGGGAAACCAAUCCAAGAACACAAAGCAAACAAGGAACUGAAUUACUUUUGUUAGAGUAUGAUCAAAGUUUUGGGACACAUUUUUCUAUUUUUAAUAGAAUAUGAUCAUAGUAUUGGACACACUUUCUUGUGGUGCUAUAGACCUUACGUUGUAAUGACUCAUGUUGUUUAUGGACUUCGUUUAAAGGAUUUGCAGCACUCAUAGUGCCUCCCUGCUUGAGUCAUCUAGCACUGACCAUGCCACACAUAUUUAUGGCAGCACAGCAAAACUUUGCUAGUGAAUUUGGUAUUCAGCAAGAUCUAAACUAUGUGACUUUCUUCUUUUGAAUCAUAGUUGUAGUGAGAAGGCCAAGAGUAUUGCUGCAGCUGCUUCGAGCCGGGGAAAGAUUGAGAUAACCGAGAUCAAAGACUUUGCGGGUCAAGAAAUCAAAGUAAAGCGGUUAGUGGAAGCGGAUUCAAAAAAGCACUGGACCGGCUCCUCCUCCUCGGUGGCACCUUCAGCGGUUGAUGCGGUUCUUGAGCAGAUAUAAAAGAAACGAAAGCCGAGAGAAAGAGAGAGACGCUAGUUUAGCUCUUCAGUCCAAGAGAAGACACGAUGAUGUCUGAAAUGUGACCGACUCUUUUAACGUUCUUCUGUAAGUAAUCUUGUUUUCUGGUCUGUUAAGAGAAGUGAUCUUUAGUAGACUAUGUAGAAUUUUCUCAAGUGAUUUGGUCACAUUCUUUGGCAGAGUCUAAACUGAGUCCCUGUUUUCUUGUUUGAUU